GACGAACGCUGGCGGCGUGCUUAACACAUGCAAGUCGAACGGAAAGGCCCUGCUUGCAGGGUACUCGAGUGGCGAACGGGUGAGUAACACGUGGGUGAUCUGCCCUGCACUUCGGGAUAAGCCUGGGAAACUGGGUCUAAUACCGGAUAGGAGCCAUUUUUAGUGUGAUGGUUGGAAAGUUUUUUCGGUGUAGGAUGAGCUCGCGGCCUAUCAGCUUGUUGGUGGGGUAAUGGCCUACCAAGGCGGCGACGGGUAGCCGGCCUGAGAGGGUGGACGGCCACAUUGGGACUGAGCUACGGCCCAGACUCCGACGGGAGGCAGCAGUGGGGAAUAUUGCACAAUGGGCGCAAGCCUGAUGCAGCGACGCCGCGUGGGGGAUGACGGACUUCGGGUUGUAAACUCCUUUCGCUAGGGACGAAGCUUUUUGUGACGGUACCUAGAUAAGAAGCACCGGCUAACUACGUG
rnacentral:rRNA from 1 species